UGUCUGCAUUUCAAGCACAGUAAGCUCAUUUGAAGUUUCUCUUUGAACAGCAGCACUCCACUUGGGCUGUAAGCAGUCACUUUCUGAUACACGCCCAGAAGCAGAAUUUUGGUCUUGGAAAGACAGAGCUGGUUCUGUAGGCACGUUCUAUUGUAAUGCUGCUGCACUUCAGCCACCCCCAGCUGUCCUUCGAGCUUCCCCAAGGCUCUUCUCUGCUGCACUGCCCACAAAUCACUGUCACCUGAUAGUCUUGAAGCUGGAGACCAUCUGUGACCAUAGUGACUGCUGAUUUAUGGAAGCACACCCAUUUUGUUGUUAUUCAUGCCAUCUCUUUCCGCACAUUUUUCCCUUACUCCCUGAAUGUCUUGUCUUGGGAACAUGGAGUGCGAGGAGAAUGGGGUGGGAACUGCCUAAAGCAAUGAAUAUGAGGUGCAAAAUAGAUGAAGUAGGGCUUUGUGAAAAAUAUAUUGAGAAAUAAUAGUAUGUUUGGAGUAGAUACUUGUCAAAACAAGAUUGUAUCAAAUAUAAUUAUAGAGGAGAACAUAUCUACCUAGCUAUGUAGGCCAGAAUUGCUGAUCAAGCAAAAGACUGGAAGGACCAUGGAAGCCUCUUGUUACCAUCAAAGCUUGACAAGCCUCCAUCUGACUGAGGGUAGCCUUGUGGCUUUGAUGUAUCUUCUUGUCUUUCAUAGCUCUCAAGGUGCAAUUGGCUCCCUGGGCCAAGCAGAGUUUUGAUGUUUUUGGGACAUGUGGCUCAACCCCCAGCACAGUGGCAGAGAACAGGGCCUAAGUGUGACAGAUUUUCUUGGUAGACCUGUCCUGUGCCUCCUCUGACUAGGCGAAUUCUCAUGGAGCAAGUUGGAAAACCUUUAUGGCUACCAUGCCUCUCUGGAAAGAGGCCAAGCAUUUACCCUUUUAUAAGCUAUGUAAAGGCAAGCUAGGAAUAUAUGUAGUAGUUCAAAUGUUUUUAAGAAACAUGCUAUAUUCAACAACAGGUGCCCAAUCCUGCCAUUGCUGAAGCAAUAGUAGUGGGGUGACAUCGUCAGGACAGAACUGCCAAGCUGUUAAGCAAGGAUUAUUUACUUUUCAUAGCCAUAUAUGACACGUUGCCUCUGUCCUUCCUUUCUAUGUUUUUACAUACCAUAACAACAAUUUGAGAUGACUUUGGAGGAAACUGGCUUAUAUAACCACUGAUCUGCAUUGCAGAAUCAACCUAGUCUUUUUGAUUUAUUUCCCAAAGCUCUCCUGCAUGGUUUCUGUCUUGAUUUUCUUGUCAACAUGAUUUAGUGCAUGAUUUAGUCUCUGGGGAUGUCUUGUGCGUUAUGUGAAACUGGUGUUACUGUUGUCCUAGCAGACUUGAGCAAAGGGCUGCUUUUUUGUGAAACUGCUUUAUGUUACAUAUGCUAAUAAUGUCAAACUUCUGAAGGAAAGUCUCCUGAAGCAAACCAAAGCUGCCUUUGCAAAGCAAUCUU